rnacentral:rRNA from 1 species
CACAAGCGGAGGAACAUGUGGUUUAAUUCGAUGAUACGCGAGGAACCUUACCCGGGCUUGAAAUGCAUCUGACCGGCCUUGAAAGAGGCACUCCCUUCGGGGCAGAUGUGUAGGUGCUGCAUGGUUGUCGUCAGCUCGUGCCGUGAGGUGUCGGCUUAAGUGCCAUAACGAGCGCAACCCUCAUCAUUAGUUACCAUCAGGUAAGGCUGGGGACUCUAAUGAGACUGCCAUCGUAAGAUGUGAGGAAGGUGGGGAUGACGUCAAAUCAGCACGGCCCUUACGUCCGGGGCGACACACGUGUUACAAUGGGUGGUACAAAGGGCAGCUACCUGGCGACAGGAUGCUAAUCUCGAAAACCGCUCUCAGUUCGGAUCGGAGUCUGCAACUCGACUCCGUGAAGCUGGAUUCGCUAGUAAUCGCGCAUCAGCCACGGCGCGGUGAAUACGUUCCCGGGCCUU